CACCGGCAGCUCUAGUGGUAGCUGUUUUUAUUGGGCCUAAAGCGUUCGUAGCCGGUUUGAUAAGUCUCUGGUGAAAUCAUGUAGCUUAACUGUGGGAAUUGCUGGUGAUACUGUUGAACUUGAGGUCGGGAGAGGUUAGCGGUACUCCCAGGGUAGAGGUGAAAUUCUGUAAUCCUGGGAGGACCACCUGUGGCGAAGGCGGCUAACUGGAACGAACCUGACGGUGAGGGACGAAAGCUAGGGGCGCGAACCGGAUUAGAUACCCUGGUAGUCCCUGAGCGGG
rnacentral:rRNA from 1 species